rnacentral:misc_RNA from 1 species
UUACACUACGUUCUUCUUCUUCUUUACUCCCAAGCCAAUACCACAGAAAGGCUGUAAUUGUCCCUAUAUUUUUCUUUGCACCAACUAGUAUAUACCGAUAGCAAUUUUGUGAGUGUUUCUGGUAUUAAACAUUAAGCUGGAAGCUGUAAAAUAAGAGGAAUGGGCCAGGCAUUUCGUCGAGCAUCUGGCAGAAUACGAGCCACCGACCCAUCGCCGACUGCCAAGAGCGUACGGGAACGCAGGCCUCCCGUGGGCACCACCGAAAAGGUGAAUAUCUCAAGGAGAACCGCCCAAUAUAACAAUCAGGACAGUCUUGAUUCUGAUGGUGCUCCGAGAGUUAACGCUGAC